AACUUUUUAAACGUUUCUAAUGUGGGAUUGUUAGCCACCUUGAGUCCCCACAAGGGAAAGGCAGGGUAUAAUUAAUUUAAUAAAUAUAUUAAUAAUAGCAUAAUAUAAAAACAAUUUUAAUAAUUACAGCAGUCACCACCAUUUAAGAUGCCAAUUAUUUGAUGUUGACUGAAGAGAUCUAUGAUUUACAAUAGCAUUAUAAAUUAUACUUUUAUAAUACAACUUGAGAAUUUUUUUGGAAUAUAUUUGAAUAUAUGUACAUAUAUAAGGAGAGAGAAUGAGAGAGGGUGGGAGGGAGAGAGAGACUCUCAAUUGGGAUAUUUAUUAAUUGGAAUUGGGCUUUUGACUACCCUCUUAAUUAUUCAAAACAUCAGAGAGAAAAAUGUGUCCAAUUGGCAAAAUUUCUGUGCUCCAGUAAUGGAUAGCAAAGUGAUAAUAAAUUAAAGCAAAGCAGAAUGAAGUUGAUUAGUGUCUUCUUAAACCCAGAAGGGACAAUUAAAGAUUGGGAAACAAUAAAGGAUUAAUGUGGAUAAAUAAAUUUCCAACGUCUAGAGCAGUGGUUCUCAAUCUUCCUAGUGCCGCUACCCUUUAAUACAUUUCCUCAUGUUGUGGCAUCCCCCAACCAUAAAAUUAUUUUUGUUGCUAUUUCAUAACUGUAAUUUUGCUACUGUUAUGAAUCUUAAUGUAAAUAUCUGAUAUAAAGGAUGUGUUUUCAUUCACUGGACCAAAUUUGGCACAAAUACCAGAUACACCCAAAUUUGGAUACUGGUGGGGUUGGGGAGGGAGGGGAAUUGAUUUUGUCAUUUGGGAGUUGUAGUUGCUGGCAUUUAUAGUUAACUUACAAUCAAAGAGCAUUCCGAACUCAAUCAACACUGGAAAUUGACCAGACUUGGCACACAGAACUCCCAUGACCAACAGAAAAUACUGGAAGGGUUUGGUGUGCACUGAUUUUGAGAUUUGGACUUGUAGUUCACCUACAUCCAGAGACUGAGCACUGUGGAUUCAAACAAUGUUGGAUCCGUCUGGUUAAAAAAGGAAGAGAAGGACAGGUGGAGAGAUCCUCAGCUUUUUCUGCCAAAGGGGUUCCUAAGACCAUCAGAAAUAUGUGCUUUCUAAUGGUCUUUGGCGAUGUUUUUAUGGCAUUGAGCACAUGGAACAUUUCAAAAGGCAUUCUAAUAUUCUCCUCAGUGAUUCAUAUCUUGGCUUCUCUUUCCUUUCUCUUGUCUUUCUGCAGAUACCUUGCAAGUUAAUUAUUGGUAAUUGUCAUGUUUUCUGCUUGGGAUGUUCAUUGACAUUAUGUGUCACUUUUUUUUCUGCAGAGAGCUGAAGUGUUAAAGGAAAAUAAAAAAUUGUUCCUAGAACUUGUCAAUGUUUGCUGCGAAUUCAGUAAGAAUAUCCUAACUUGUGUUUCUCUUGAUUUCAAAAGAAAAGAAAAGAAAAGAAAAGAAAUGCAGCAUCAAAACUGACUUAAGAGACAUAGGUCAGAGUAUCGAAUCAGUUCAAUCUAAUUCCCUGACUACAUUCUAUCCAAACAUUUUUUAUGUACAUUUCUGUGGAGUCUUGACUCUGUGGGCCUGGACUUAUUUCUAUCCCUGGCACCAACUUGACUAAGCUUUCCAGAUCCACCUCUGAAAAAAUGUGUCUGAUGCUCACGCUAAGGUUCUGGUCUUAACUUCCUUUUCCUCUGUAACGUGGAGAUAAGAUUAACCUAAUUUAUGGAUCUGUAGUCUGAAUCAGUGAGAUCGGAUAAGGCAUUUGUUAUCACUGGGGCAAUGUACUAUCUAAACUGCCUAAUUUUGAACCUGUGAAAUGUCAUUAAAAUAUACACUUCACUUUCAUUUCAGCAUACGAAAGCUUUUGUCCCCUCAUUAGUAGAAAACUGUUUUCAAAGCAGGACAGUUUUCUGUUUAAUAGCUUGACUGGAGUUUUGUGUGUGUGGUAUGUUAUACUUCAAAACAUAUAGUUACAGCUUCAAUAAUAACAUGUUGCCAGCAUGAAGUAAUGGUUUGAGUGUUAGAUUAGGUUGCAGAGAAACGAAGAUUCAAAUCCCUUUUCAAUCAUGAAAACCCACUGCGUGACCUUAGGCAAAUCACACUCUGUCAGCCUCAGAGGGCAACCCCCUCUGAACAAAUUCUGUCAAGAAAACCGCAUGAUAGAUUUGCCAUAAGAGUCACACCAUAUCAAAACUUACUUGAAGGCACACAGCAACAACCAAAAGUGUUAUCUAUUUAAAGCUUGUAGUAGAAUCAUACAACAACAACAAAACUAUUUAUAUACCGCUCUAUCUCCGAUAAGGACUCGAGAGCUGUUUACACAUCAUAAAAACAUUCAAUACAUAAUAUAAUACAAAAUACAAAAACCAAUAUAAUAGCAAUUAACAAACAUGUUUAAAAUUCCAACAUUUUAAAACAAUGUAAUACCUAGUAAGAGCAUAGAAUCAUAGAAUUGGAAGAGACCUCAAGAGUCAUCCAGUCCAACCCCUUACAUGCAAAAAUAUGUAAUCAGUGAGUUAGAUCAAAGGAUUUCUCUUUUGAUCCAUAAAUGUCUUUGUUUUCAAAAAUAAACUAUAUAAAUCAGCAUAAUUUCUUUAAACCAUCCUUGUGGCUUAACACAUUUCAACUUCUGGAUAGUGAGAAAGUAACAUAUUUUUCCGGUGUAUAAGACGAGUGGGCGUAUAAGACGACCCCCAACUUUUCCAGUUCAAAUAUAGAGUUUGGAAUAUAUUCACCAUAUAAGACUAGCCCUCUUCCAAGUUUGCUCAUGCCUGGUGUAGCUGCAGCCCUUGUUUUGGCCUUUCGGAAUAGUCUGAAAUAGGAAAACACCAACACAGUUCAUUCCAGCAGCUUUCCCAGAAGAGAGUGUUGUCCUUUGUGGGAUACUUUCUCACGUGGUGCUCACUGUCCAAUGGGAAGGGGGUGCGUGAAAGCCAUGGGUGGGUCUCGGCUGCGGCAGGAAGGAAGGAGCCUCUCUGGCUAAGCAUGGAGGGGGUUUUGGCCAGGUACAGCUCCCAGAAAGUCAGCAAGGCCAGCUGGCGGCCCCUGCCCCCCUCCGCCAUCCAACCCCCAGAGGUCUUUGCCAUGCAAUCCUGGGACAACGAGGUGAAGCCUUGGAGGAGAUGGACCUUGGCAAGGCCAUUGGAGAGGUCUGGCCCUCACCAAACUGCAACUCCCAUGAAUCCAUAGCAUCGAGCCAUGGCAGUUAAAGUGGGGCCAAUGCAUUAAUUCUAUAAUAUAGAACAGGCAUGGACAAACUUCAGCCCUCCAGGUGUUUUUGCUGAAGUGGAAAGGAACAAAAGUGAUUAAGGUGUGCUCCUCCUGGGCUCUGCCUCCCGUUUCCCUUGCCUCUCCUUCCUGACUCUGAGUCUGGUUCGGAAGUUUUAACACCUAGCAUAUAAGAUGACCCCUGACUUUGAGAAGAUUUUCCUGGGUUAAAAAGUCGUUUAAUACACCAGAAAAUAGGGUACAUUCUAUUCUCCAUUGGGUCAUGAAAACCCACUGGAUAUCUGUAUGAUAUUAAGGCUUUCAUAGCAUCAGAGCAAGUACAAGUGCAAAUUUGAGUUAGGCUGUUUUUGAGUUUAGCUAUUCUGACAGCUAGCAUGGUAGAGUGGUUGGAGCUUGAACUAUGACUCUAGAGACCAGAAUUCAAUUUGUUCCAUGAUUGAGCUCUUAACUCAAAACGCCCUUAUCUCAAAAUGAAAUUUCCCAUUAAAAUGCAUUGAAAUGCUAUUAAUCCAUUCUGUCCCCCAUUUUUGUUACAUAUUUUUGAAUAAGAAAAGGUGCUUUAUAAAUAACAAAUAAUUUAUGCACAUUCACAUGGAACAACAAAGAAGAAAGAUCAACUUUAAAGUGGUAGAAGCACAAAGUUGUGGUAAGGAAGCACAAAGAGGAGAGGCAGCAGCAUCGUUUUCUUCAUACUGUAUUCAUUCCAGCAUCUCCCCUCUCUUGCUCUUUCUCUUUCUUCAUGAAGUCAAACAUACCAAAUAUAAAAAAAACACACAAAAUCAACUAUCCCAAAGUUCCUCAAAGCAGGCAGCAAUCUCUCAAAGCAGAUAGAGGCACAAGGCUGCUCCCUGAAGCCCUGUACUCUGGUGCUAGCACUCCCUCUGCCUCUAGCUCUUAACUCAAAGUGCUGGUUGUAUGUCAAAGCAAAACCAGGAUCAAAUGACAUUCUUAACUCAAAACACUUAAGUUAGGAUUCUCUUAAGCCGAGAUUUCACUGUACUGUGAAAUAAACAAAGACAAAUGGGCACUUUUUGGUUGCAUUCACACAGUUUUCUGUGACACACCUAAAUAAUCUGUUGUGCAGCCCACUGCCUCCAGAAGUCAUAAAAGGAAUGGAAUGAAGUCCUAAUUGGGUGCCAUUGCACUGCCGCAUGAUCUCAGAUUCAAUAAAAUUGAUUCUGGAAAGGCACAUAAUUUACUAAAGAGCAUAUGUAGACAAAAAGCAUGUUCGAGAUAAGCUGUUACAUGGCCCAGGGAACAAAACAGAGCCUUUCAGCAUCCCAUACAUAUGUCUCAGGACACAAAAAAGGUUCCAAUAAAAGGCUGGAGCCAUCAUAGGCCAUCAUAGGACAUGCCUUUAAUAUGACACAGCCAGGCAACCCAGAAGAAUACCACUGACUAUGAUAUCCAAAAUAUCUGAAAGGUCUUAGUUAAUCCAUAGGUUAAACAUUCAAUCUACUGGGUUGAGGUUCCAAGUUCAUUUCCCAGUAAAUAACACUGUUUUGUUUUUUUAAGCAAGAUUUUAGGGAUUGAACCUGAAUCCGCAUGUCCUUUAUCACCUCAGAUGUUUAAAGCAAUCCCUUUCUUUAAAAUGUUUCACUUCCUAGUGGUUUUAUUUAUUUAUUUAUUAUUCAGACUUAUAUGCCGCCACUUCCCUAGGGCUCGGGACGGCUUACAAGAACAGGCUAAAAUCUAACAAUUUAAAAACAUCUUUAAAACAUCUUUUAAAAAAUCUUAAAAACACUCCCCCAGGGCUCGGAGUGGCUUACAAAAACAAGCUAAAAUCUAAGCAAUUUAAAAACAGUAAUAACAGCAAUAAUGACUUGUAAAAACCACAAGGAACUUCUCAUGUGCCACUCAGGUUGCACUAUUUUUUAAAAUAAUGUUGAAAAAACUUAUGGUGAUUUCCAAAUAGCAUUGAAAAUACCUAUGGCGCUUCUUGUCCAACAGGAAGAAGUAUUCAUAAAGUUCUUCAAUUUUUUCAAAAGACACUAAUGUUAUUUCUCUCCUCCAGCAAUGGUUCCUGCAGCCAGUCAGAAAUUGGAGAGAUACGUGAUCAACAUGUAUUUUAUGAAGAAUUUGUGAAGAAUCUCUACCAAAAGCAUCAAAGAGAUUUAUCUGAACUGCUCCAGGAGCAUCAAUGGUUUCUGCAGCCAGUCAGAAAUUGGAGAGAGAUAUACAUGAUCAACAUGCAUCUUAUGAAAAAAAUGUGCAGAAACUAUACCAGAAGCAUCAGAGUGAUUUAUCUGAACUGAAAGAGAGGGUAAAACUUCUAUACCAUAGAAUGUGAAAAGCUACAGAGAAAGUAUGAAUCAUCCCUUUCAGAAAAAAAUUGCUGACUUAAAAAGUGAAAGGGAUUCCCGGCAACCCUAGAGAGUGAAGAUAUAUUAGCACUGGAGGGAAUGGAUUUACGACGAGGAUGACUUUUGCGAAAGCGUGGAAACUGGAGGAGACCCCGGAAAAAGACCUGUGGAUUCAUAAAUUAGAAGAAAUACAAAAUAUGGACAAGCUUACAUUCCUUUUGAAAGAAACGAGAGGAAAAUCUGUGAGGACAAAUUGGAGUAAACUGGAAGAAUAUGUUAAGAAAUAAUUUGAAUUAUGUUUAAUAACUUUGUUUAAUUGGAAAAUGAUAGUUUUGAAUACAGUGUUAUAAAAUAGAUAUCUGAAGAAUGGAAGUUAUACUUCCCCCUUAGAUUGAUGUUCCCUGAACUUUGUUAAUCCCUAUGGUGUUUAAUCCCUAUUCUUUGUUUUCACCCCCCCUUUUUUUUUCUUUUUUCUUUUCUUUUUUUCCCUUUU